AGUCCUCAUUAGGACCAGUCAGUAGGAACCACCCAGGUCCUCAUUAGGACCAGUCAGUAGGAACCACCCAAGUCCUCAUUAGGACCAGUCAGUAGGAACCACCCAGGUCCUCAUUAGGAACCACCCAGGUCCUCAUUAGGAACCACCCAGGUCCUCUUUAGGACCAGUCAGUAGGAACCACCCAGGUCCUCAUUAGGAACCACCCAGGUCCUCAUUAGGACCAGUCAGUAGGAACCACCCAGGUCCUCAUUAGGACCAGUCAGUAGGAACCACCCAAGUCCUCAUUAGGACCAGUCAGUAGGAACCACCCAGGUCCUCAUUAGGAACCACCCAGGUCCUCAUUAGGAACCACCCAGGUCCUCUUUAGGACCAGUCAGUAGGAACCACCCAGGUCCUCAUUAGGAACCACCCAGGUCCUCAUUAGGACCAGUCAGUAGGAACCACCCAGGUCCUCAUUAGGAACCACCCAGGUCCUCAUUAGGACCAGUCAGUAGGAACCACCCAGGUCCUCAUUAGGACCAGUCAGUAGGAACCACCCAGGUCCUCAUUAGGACCAGUCAGUAGGAACCACCCAGGUCCUCAUUACGACCAGUCAGUAGGAACCACCCAGGUCCUCAUUAGGACCAGUCAGUAGGAACCACCCAGGUCCUCAUUAGGACCAGUCAGUAGGAACCACCCAGGUCCUCAUUAGGACCAGUCAGUAGGAACCACCCAGGUCCUCAUUAGGACCAGUCAGUAGGAACCACCCAGGUCCUCAUUAGGACCAGUCAGUAGGAACCACCCAGGUCCUCAUUAGGACCAGUCAGUAGGAACCACCCAGGUCCUCAUUACGACCAGUCAGUAGGAACCACCCAGGUCCUCAUUAGGACCAGUCAGUAGGAACCACCCAGGUCCUCAUUAGGACCAGUCAGUAGGAACCACCCAGGUCCUCAUUAGGACCAGUCAGUAGGAACCACCCAGGUCCUCAUUAGGACCAGUCAGUAGGAACCACCCAGGUCCUCAUUAGGAACCACCCAGGUCCUCAUUAGGACCAGUCAGUAGGAACCACCCAGGUCCUCAUUAGGAACCACCCAGGUCCUCAUUAGGGCCAGUCGGCAGGA